rnacentral:tRNA from 1 species
GCCCGGGUGGUGGAAUUGGUAGACACAAGGGACUUAAAAUCCCUCGCCAGCAAUGGCGUGCCGGUUCAAGUCCGGCUCCGGGUA